rnacentral:rRNA from 1 species
CCUACGGGAGGCAGCAGUGGGGAAUAUUGCACAAUGGGGGAAACCCUGAUGCAGCAACGCCGCGUGAGUGAAGAAGUAUUUCGGUAUGUAAAGCCCUAUCAGCCGGGAAGAAAAUGACGGUACCUGAGUACGAAGCCCCGGCUGACUACGUGCCAGCAGCCGCGGUAAUACGUAGGGGGCAAGCGUUAUCCGGAUUUACUGGGUGUAAAGGGAGCGUAGACGGCGAUACAAGUCUGAAGUGAAAGCCCGGGGCUCAACCCCGGGACUGCUGUGGAAACUGUGUUGCUGGAGUGCUGGAGAGGCAAGCGGAAUGCCUAGUGUAGCGGUGAAAUGCGUAGAUAUUAGGAAGAACACCAGUGGCGAAGGCGGCGUGCUGGACAGUAACUGACGUUGAGGCUCGAAAGCGUGGGGAGCGAACAGGAUUAGAUACCCGAGUAGUC